CGAUCUCAGGUACAGUCUCCCUCACUGCAAGCCAAAGACAAAGGAAUACUGAGAAAUGAAGGGAUAACUGUUAUUUUAAUCAGUUCUGCUUACAUUGUUCUUAUUUCUGAAAAUGUUACAUUCUGUUGCAGCAAAAAUCUGGUGUUGGGACUAACAGUGCUCACCAGAUAAUAGAUUAGGUACAAGGGUAUCCCAGAAGAGAGAGGUAGGACAGAGAUAUCUGAUGAUGCAGACCACCAAUAAGAAGCAUAUCU
rnacentral:lncRNA from 10 species